AGCAACUCAAUUUUUUACCUCCAUCUCAAAUUUCCCAAUGUUCGAAUUUCCCACAAAACCCUAGCUCUCUGAUUUCGUUUUCCCUCUCUUUCUUUUCACGCUCAACUCUAAUGCCUUUUCUUCAUGCGAUUUAUCAUUUUCCUAAGUUCUCCCCACCACACCUUCACGCAACUCAUCUUCGUGUGAUUCGCCGAUGAGUAUGGAAACUAUUUCCCGUCAUCCAUGGAAACUAUUCGUCUCCAGAUGGGAAUCACCAAUUUCUGAUCACUGAAUCGCUCAAGUAGAACCUGCAAAGAAGCCAAUUCACUCCGUCUCAACCAAAAAUCCCCAGUCUCAAAAAUCCCUAAUCUUUUGAACCAAAAACCCUAUCAAAAAUCCCUAUCUCUUCUUACGUCUCUCUCUCUCUCUCUCUCUCUCUCUCUCUCUAUCUCUCUGUCUCUCGACUGUGAGCAGAGGCAGACAAUGGCGAGCAUCGAAUCGACGGUGUCGAGCAACGGUAGCGAGCAGCGUGACGGCAUCGAGCAAAAAGCAUGUCGAUACUCCCAAGUCUGAUGACAAGACUACCGAGGAUGAACUCAAGAACUUUGAUUCGGAGUUCAUCAAAGUCGAUCAAGGCAUUCUUCGAUCUCAUCCUGUGGUUACCUUACACAGGACAUGCUUCCAAAAUAGUAUGAAUUCACUCUGUCACGCUGAACUCUAUUAUAUGGAAACCAGGUAUAUUCCUAUUCAUCAACAGAAUAGUAUAUGCAAAUAUAUUUGAUUUGUCAAUGUUGUUGAUAUUGGAGAUUAGUAUAUGUUUUGUGAUUCCAAUUUUUUUGAUAGGUAGGUGAAUUAUAAGAUUUUCUUCAACUAUUGAAAUAAUUUGUCAACUGAGUGUUUCUACUGCAUGAUAUCUGUGCUUCUUUGAAUCUUGAAUUGCCACAAAUGUCAUAUAUUUGACAGUGGUUUUUGUCAAAAUAAUCGGUUCUUAUUGGAGAUGCCCUUGUAUGAUAGGAUGUUGAAACGAGGAUAUAUUAGGCUUAAUUACGUAUAGUUUGGUUUUCACUUUGAGCUGUCGCUCAUGAAGGGUUGUGGAAAUCAAGUUGUUGCACUUUACACGGAUAUGGAAUGGUAGACACAACUAAUAGAACUCCUAUCUCCAAAUACUUCAUAAGAAAACUCGAUCACACUUCAUUUACAAGUCUUUGUGACUUUUCAUCUGGAAGGACCAUGUCUCAGCGAUCAAGUUAAAAAUAUAAUCUUGAUGCAUCAUCAUCAACUACUGAAUAAUAAGCAAAGUCAAUGAUUCAUGUGGAGUUGGUUUGCUGAUCUCUAAAGUAGAUUGGAAAUUUAUUCUUCUGCUUGCUUUCCAAUUAUUAUUAUUAUUAUUAUUAUUAUUAUUAUUAUUAUUAUUAUUAUUAUUCAAUUUUAAUAUGUUAAUCUAAUGAGGUCAAGAACUGUAAUCUAGAUGUACUGGGCAAAAAAGAUUCUUGAAUGGACAAGUGGGCCUGAAGAUGCUCUUGCAAUAUCAAUAUAUCUAAAUGAUAAGUAUAAAAUAGAUGGAAGAGAUCCAAAUGGAUAUGUUGGUUGAAUGUGGUCAAUAUGUGGUGUGCAUGAUCAGGGUUGGCAAGAACGACCAGUUUUCGGGAAAAUACGAUACAUGAACUACACUGGCUGUAAAAGGAAAUUUGAUGUUGAUGGAUACAUUGCUUAAGUUAAGAGGCUGGUUGGUGAAAUCAAGAAGAGGAAAGCAGAAACCCUAACCCUACUCAAUGAGAAGAAAAACGAACUUCACAUUUAAUUAUUUUUGGCUCCAUCAUAUAUGAUAAAUGUGUCAAGUAGUUUUCAAUUUGUAAGAGGAUUUGUUGAUCUUUAUUUUGGGCUGAAGACACCAUCGCCUUAUGGUUGCAUCUAUACAGUGCCAUUUUAGUCUUUUUGGCUGUGUAGAUUAUUUAUUUAUGUACUCGUUUAUGAAAUUCAGUUUCGUUCA